UUUUCAUUGGUUUGGAGUUUUUAGACCCUUCAUUGUUGACCAGUGGAAAACUUCCCGCCGAAGUGUUUCAAAUAGCACUUUGUCUUCAAACGAACAAGAUGGACACAUGCAGUUUACAGAAGCAAAAGAUUUGAUUUGAACUGUUCGUGAAACCACACAUACUCAAGAGAAUUUACAAGACUAUUAUCCACAAAAUGCAACAGUCUUAUUUUGAUGAAUUGUUGAACCAGAGAAAUGUGAAGACUUACAGACACCUAGACUGUAUAGUCAACAUAACAAUGAUUAGAGAAUCAGACUACAGUGAACAUUACAAUGAUUAGAAAAUCAGACUAGAGUCAACAUUACAAUGAUUAGAGAAUCAGACUAUAGUCAACAUUACAAUGAUUAGAAAAUCAGCCAGCUGCAUUUCAUCAAUCAGUUUAUGAUGAAGCUUUACAGCAUUGGAAAUGAUUACUCAGGGACCAAACAACUGAGUAGAAAGAAGAACCGUAUGACCUUGAAGAGUAAGCAAUGUAUUAAGUAUAUUUGGGGUUACCAAAGAGUAUGGUAAGAACCUCAUCUUAAAUUAUACUUGAUUGCAGCAGUGGGAUGUUACAGUCAUAGACGUUGGAUAGACUCCGUUGUACUAGGCCAGGGAGGGUAGCGCAGAGUUUCCGCAGCACUAUACAAUAGUAGCAAGAUCACUCUACCAUGAGCUUGUUAAAGGGCCCGUUUGAUGAAAGUGACACCAACGUUCUCCACAACACUACAGAUUUGUUUUUGCAGAUGCAGCCGAGAGGAUGUUUCAGUCAUGGACUCAUUUGAUGGAAGUGGCACCAACAUUCUCAAACACUAAUAAUUUACAAAUUUGUUUUUGUUGUAGAUGCAACCUCAGUCAUACACCCUAGAGUUUGGCUAUGUUGUGACAGAAGAAGAGUGGCAUAUAGACUUCUGUAUGUCCAUUUUUAUGGAAGUGACAAAUUACUAAUCUUUCUUCUUAUAUCCAUUUCAGAGUUCUUACAAAGAUGCAUAGGUAUAAAAUAUUUAUUAUUUUUUGUCUUUUGGUGUAUUUUUGUCAAUGAGUUAAAACCCAAAGAACAGUACAUCGAUCAGAAGUAAUAAGUUUGACUAGUGUAAUUUGAGAGAGAACACUCUGGAACACAAAAAAUAUCCUAUCUCAUAAAAAUUUAACACGACAUCUUAUUUUCACCUUUUUUCAUUGAAGCAGCACACAGUGUAGUCAAGAAUGUAUGCAUGUCCUUGAACUUCUAGAAAUACAAUACCUCUAAUAGUUAAAACAGUCUGGUAUAAUGGUCAACAAGAGCUACAUAAAAAAAAGGAAGAUACCAAAGUUAAAUUAAAAAAAUAUGUAUUUAAUUUUUGAAAUUUACCUCAAAGAAAAUAAAAUAAAGUUUAAUUGAUUUUUUUCUUAUAUGUGUAAUGUUGUAUAUGUAUUUUUAUUUCAUUUCAGAGUUCAACAACAGAUUAUUAAUUCUAUUAUUUUGUUUUUCGCAGAUUGCAGCAGUGGGAUGUUACAGUCAUAGACGUUGGAUAGACUCCGUUGUACUAGGCCAGGGAGGGUAGCGCAGAGUUUCCGCAGCACUAUACAAUAGUAACAAGAUCACUCUACCAUGAGCUUGUUAAAGGGCCCGUUUGAUGAAAGUGACACCAACGUUCUCCACAACACUACAGAUUUGUUUUUGCAGAUGCAGCCGAGAGGAUGUUUCAGUCAUGGACUCAUUUGAUGGAAGUGGCACCAACAUUCUCAAACACUAAUAAUUUACAAAUUUGUUUUUGUUGUAGAUGCAACCUCAGUCAUACACCCUAGAGUUUGGCUAUGUUGUGACAGAAGAAGAGUGGCAUGUAGAUUUCUUUUAUGGAAGUGCAAAUAACUAAUCUUUCUUCUUCAUAUCUAUUUCAGAGUUCUUACGAAGAUGUAUAGGUAUGCAGUAUUUAUUAUUUUUGUCUCUGUGUAUUUUUGUCAAUGAGGUAAAACCACAGAACAAAUCAAUCAGAAGUAUUAACUGGUGUAAUUUGAGAACACCCUGGAACACGAGAAAUAUCCUACCUCACAAAAUUUAACA